GCCGAUGUAGCUCAGUGGUAGAGCAUUCGAUUCGUAAUCGAACGGUCGUGAGUUCAAAUCUCAUCAUCGGCU
rfam:Cyanothece sp. PCC 7425, complete genome.